GAUUAAGUUAUUAAGGGCGCACGGUGGAUGCCUUGGCACUAGAAGCCGAUGAAGGACGUUACUAACGACGAUAUGCUUUGGGGAGCUGUAAGUAAGCUUUGAUCCAGAGAUUUCCGAAUGGGGAAACCCAGCAUGAGUUAUGUCAUGUUAUCGAUAUGUGAAUACAUAGCAUAUCAGAAGGCACACCCGGAGAACUGAAACAUCUUAGUACCCGGAGGAAGAGAAAGAAAAUUCGAUUCCCUUAGUAGCGGCGAGCGAAACGGGAAGAGCCCAAACCAACAAGCUUGCUUGUUGGGGUUGUAGGACACUCUAUACGGAGUUACAAAGGACGACAUUAGACGAAUCAUCUGGAAAGAUGAAUCAAAGAAGGUAAUAAUCCUGUAGUCGAAAAUGUUGUCUCUCUUGAGUGGAUCCUGAGUACGACGGAGCACGUGAAAUUCCGUCGGAAUCUGGGAGGACCAUCUCCUAAGGCUAAAUACUCUCUAGUGACCGAUAGUGAACCAGUACCGUGAGGGAAAGGUGAAAAGCACCCCGGAAGGGGAGUGAAAUAGAACCUGAAACCGUGUGCUUACAAGUAGUCAGAGCCCGUUAAUGGGUGAUGGCGUGCCUUUUGUAGAAUGAACCGGCGAGUUACGAUUUGAUGCAAGGUUAAGCAGUAAAUGUGGAGCCGUAGCGAAAGCGAGUCUGAAUAGGGCGUUUAGUAUUUGGUCGUAGACCCGAAACCAGGUGAUCUACCCUUGGUCAGGUUGAAGUUCAGGUAACACUGAAUGGAGGACCGAACCGACUUACGUUGAAAAGUGAGCGGAUGAACUGAGGGUAGCGGAGAAAUUCCAAUCGAACCUGGAGAUAGCUGGUUCUCUCCGAAAUAGCUUUAGGGCUAGCCUCAAGUGAUGAUUAUUGGAGGUAGAGCACUGUUUGGACGAGGGGCCCCUCUCGGGUUACCGAAUUCAGACAAACUCCGAAUGCCAAUUAAUUUAACUUGGGAGUCAGAACAUGGGUGAUAAGGUCCGUGUUCGAAAGGGAAACAGCCCAGACCACCAGCUAAGGUCCCAAAAUAUAUGUUAAGUGGAAAAGGAUGUGGCGUUGCCCAGACAACUAGGAUGUUGGCUUAGAAGCAGCCAUCAUUUAAAGAGUGCGUAAUAGCUCACUAGUCGAGUGACACUGCGCCGAAAAUGUACCGGGGCUAAACAUAUUACCGAAGCUGUGGAUUGUCCUUUGGACAAUGGUAGGAGAGCGUUCUAAGGGCGUUGAAGCAUGAUCGUAAGGACAUGUGGAGCGCUUAGAAGUGAGAAUGCCGGUGUGAGUAGCGAAAGACGGGUGAGAAUCCCGUCCACCGAUUGACUAAGGUUUCCAGAGGAAGGCUCGUCCGCUCUGGGUUAGUCGGGUCCUAAGCUGAGGCCGACAGGCGUAGGCGAUGGAUAACAGGUUGAUAUUCCUGUACCACCUAUAAUCGUUUUAAUCGAUGGGGGGACGCAGUAGGAUAGGCGAAGCGUGCGAUUGGAUUGCACGUCUAAGCAGUAAGGCUGAGUAUUAGGCAAAUCCGGUACUCGUUAAGGCUGAGCUGUGAUGGGGAGAAGACAUUGUGUCUUCGAGUCGUUGAUUUCACACUGCCGAGAAAAGCCUCUAGAUAGAAAAUAGGUGCCCGUACCGCAAACCGACACAGGUAGUCAAGAUGAGAAUUCUAAGGUGAGCGAGCGAACUCUCGUUAAGGAACUCGGCAAAAUGACCCCGUAACUUCGGGAGAAGGGGUGCUCUUUAGGGUUAACGCCCAGAAGAGCCGCAGUGAAUAGGCCCAAGCGACUGUUUAUCAAAAACACAGGUCUCUGCUAAACCGUAAGGUGAUGUAUAGGGGCUGACGCCUGCCCGGUGCUGGAAG
rnacentral:rRNA from 1 species